UACAGAGGUCUCAAGCGUUGUUCGGAUUCAUUGGGCGUAAAGGGUGCGUAGGUGGCGCGCUAAGUCGGGUGUGAAAUCUCGGAGCUUAACUCCGAAAUUGCAUUCGAUACUGGCGUGCUUGAGGACUGGAGAGGAGACUGGAAUUCAUGGUGUAGCAGUGAAAUGCGUAGAGAUCAUGAGGAAGAGCAGUGGCGAAGGCGGCUCGCUGGGCCGGACCUGACGCUGAGGCGCGAAGGCGUGGGGAGCGAACGGGG
rnacentral:rRNA from 1 species